AGACUGCCGGUGACAAACCGGAGGAAGGUGGGGAUGACGUCAAGUCAUCAUGCCCUUACGGGCCAGGGCUACACACGUGCUACAAUGGUCGGUACAGAGGGUUGCCAAGCCGCGAGGUGGAGCUAAUCCCAUAAAACCGAUCGUAGUCCGGAUCGCAGUCUGCAACUCGACUGCGUGAAGUCGGAAUCGCUAGUAAUUGUGGAUCACAAAUAUACCGGGGAAAAAAUUCCGGGCCUUGUACACACCGCCCGUCACACCAUGGGAGUGGGUUGCUCCAGAAGUAGCUAGUCUAACCGCAAGGGGGACGGUUACCACGGAGUGAUUCAUGACUGGGGUGAAGUCGUAACAAGGUAGCCGUAGGGGAACCUGCGGCUGGAUCACCUCCUUAAGCUUGGAUUCCCGGG
rnacentral:rRNA from 1 species